rnacentral:misc_RNA from 1 species
AAGUCGUAACAAGGUUUCCGUAGGUGAACCUGCGGAAGGAUCAUUAUUGAAUUAUGUUUCUAGAUGGGUUGUCGCUGGCUCUUUGGAGCAUGUGCACGCCUGUUUGGACUUCAUUUUCAUCCACCUGUGCACCUAUUGUAGUCUUUGGUCGGGUUAUUGAGGAAGUGGUCAGUCUAUCAGCAUUAGCUGGAUUUGAGGACUUGCGGUGCGAAAGUAGUGCUGUCCUUUACUUGGCCAUGGAGUCUUUUUCCUGCCAGAGUCUAUGUCAUUCAUUAUACCCUAUAGAAUGUCAUUGAAUGUCUUUGCAUGGGCUUGUAUGCCUAUGAAAAUUGUAAUACAACUUUCAGCAACGGAUCUCUUGGCUCUC